AUAUUGUAUCUAGAUUCACUUGAUGUUGGUGAUAUCGUUAACAACGACUUGGAAGUAAGAGCCGCUGCGUGGACGGGACAACUCGUCUCCAAAGUCUGCCUCAUGGAUAAGCUCUCCGAGACUCAGUUCGGCAAACUACAACUAAAGCCAGAACAUUUAAGAACAACGAUGAUCCCACCAGAAAGGAUCCAACAAUUCAUCGAUUCAAACAUGCCGGAAUCGGUCAUUGUUAAUCGGGAGGUCCUCAAAAGUGCACUGAGCGAGUUCAGCAUUGCAAUCAAUCAAGCUUCUGUCAACCU